CUUCCCCUAGGGCAUGUCGCCUCGUCCGAGCUGUGUUUGAGAGUGCCCGGCGGCGCCUGGGCAAAGCCGUGUUUCCAGCGGUGUUUUUCCGAACGGGAGACUCGCACCAGGCGCGCGGGACUGCAAAGGAGGGGCGAAGGGGUGCUGAGAAUUCAGGGGUCUGCCAGGUUACAAAACCCUGCAAGCCCUUCUCCGAGAGGAAAGUCAGUUGGUAGCUGCCAGUAGGAGAGGGAAGCAGCAAGGAAGGCAGGUUACAGGCUUUAGCAAGGGGAGGCACAGGUGGGGAGAGCAGAGCUGCCCGGUGCUGCCACAGCCAGUGCCCGCUGGCCCUGCGAACCAAGUGAGAGAGAUUGUGCUGCAAGAACACACGGAGAGAAACGUGACUGUCCUCAGAAACCGGUCGUGAUGGUCAUACUUGAGUAAGCAGGAGCUUUGUCACCCACUGCAACAUCUAUGGAUGUGAGCUGGGCUCCUCAACUUUGUGCAUCAUGGAUACCCCUCUGGCUUUUCUCUGGAGAGGUGAAAUAGAGCUUCUGGAAGCGGAUGAUCUUUAUGGUUGCUGGCCAGCAACUAAGCACCACACAGCUACUUCCACUUCUCCCCUCUCCCUGCCACUGCCAUGAAGGGAAGAGAACUGGAAGGGUGAAAGUAUGAAAACUCUUGGGUUGAAAUAAAGGCAGUUUAAUAGGGAAAGCUAAAGCUGUGCACACACAGAGCACAAGGAAUUUGUUUCCUACUUCCCAAGAGCAGGUAUAGCUUACUCUGAUUUCCUGCUGCAAAUCCUGUUUCCACUUACUGAUCAUCUUCAAGCAAACAUGUAAUACAUGCCACAACCAAUCUAUCUCAGUCUAAUCAACAUCCAUUUAAAUGCGACACAGGUUUUAUGUCUGUCUGGACUUGCCAAUCUAACUGACAUAAUUUGGAUUUAUUAGAAACAUUCUAAAUACUGUUACACUGUCAAUUAAAAAUAAAACUCCUGAAGUAGUCUGGAGAACAUGCAAGUUGAUAUUUAGCACUUAUAUUUUUAAAAUAACCCAUUUAACUAUAAAUACUGUCAUUAAUACUCGAAGAGAACUUACUUGCAAUGCUUAGCAGUGUGUUAAAAUUGUUUUCUCAGAAUAUUUGAAUAGUGAUUUAAAUGAAACGUUGAAAAGUAUUAAUCUUUUUUAUUUCUCAGUUAGGAAGACUACGAUAAUGAAAAAAUUAAUGGUCUGAAAUUUGUUUGCUUGCACUACUCAGAGAGCAGCUUGGAUAAUUCCUGCUCCUUAAGGACUAUUUCUGUCAGGCCUUGUUACGCUUGACUUGUAUCAUCCUUGGGAGCUGUUCUGUCAAACUGAUGCUUAUUUGAUAUAUAUUUAAUUUCUCUUCAGUAAAUUUGUCCAAACACAUGCAUCAUGUGCACACGUGCCUGCUUGAAUGCUAAGAAGAUGAGCAGAAAGGGACACUGGGAGAUGUCAAUCCGUGUUUUAGGUAGUUGUGGCUGACUGACUGUAUGCUGAUAGGCAUCUCCAGUUUGACUGCACCUUCUACUAACAUUCACUGGGUCCUGCCUCAAGGUGGAGCUGUUAUAUUUGCAAUGGAGAUGAAGGCUUGAAAAGCGUUUUCUUCCCCCAAAUGCUGUUUCUGAUCUGAAUAGAAGUAUGACUUAUAUUGGUAAAGAAAAACGGCAAGCAAUUUUCCUCCCCCUCAGCAAAAGCUGGAGUCAUCAAUGUGUCAUGCAGGUGGAUGGCCUACAACACUGACUUUUAUUCAAUCUGACAUCACCUCUUGUAGCUUCAGGAAGAUGCAUACCUUUCACUUACAGUAGGUAUCCAGCAGGAUUAUGACAAUGUGCGCAUUCCAGCUGUCAAAAGCAGCGCUGUUCUUCUUGUGGCCCUAUGUAAUUGGGAAUGUUUUCCCAGAAGACAGUAUGUGUGUGUGUAUUGUGUUCUAAUUAAGAAUAUAUGAGACAGUUAUGGCAGGCUGUCAAAUCAAUGGGACGCUGAGUAUAUUUUAGUCUCCAUGCUAUAGUCUAAAUAACCUUUUAAGGACUCUGUUCCCUCG